CGGACGGGUGAGUAACGCGUGGAUAACCUGCCGUAUACUGGGGGAUAACACUUAGAAAUAGGUGCUAAUACCGCAUAAGCGCACAGUCUCGCAUGAGACGGUGUGAAAAACUCCGGUGGUAUACGAUGGAUCCGCGUCUGAUUAGCUUGUUGGCGGGUAACAGCCCACCAAGGCGACGAUCAGUAGCCGGCCUGAGAGGGUGAACGGCCACAUUGGGACUGAGACACGGCCCAAACUCCUACGGAAGGCAGCAG
rnacentral:rRNA from 1 species